GCCGGGCACAGUGGCGCAUGCCUGUAAUCCCAGCUACUCAGGAGGCUGAGGCAGAAGAAUCACUUGAACCCAGGAGGUGGAGGUGGCAGUGAGUCGAGAUCACGCCACUGCCCUCUAGCCUGGGUGACAGAGCGAGACUCUGUCUCAA
rnacentral:SRP_RNA from 1 species